rnacentral:rRNA from 1 species
UACGAAGGAUCCUAGCGUUGUCCGGAUUUACUGGGUUUAAAGGGAGCGUAGGCGGACUUUUAAGUCAGUGGUGAAAGCCUGCAGCUUAACUGUAGAAUUGCCAUUGAAACUGAUUGUCUCGAGUGCGGUUGAGGUCACUGGAAUGUAUCAUGUAGCGGUGAAAUGCUUAGAUAUCGGGAGGAACACCUGUGGCGAAAGCGGCUCACUGGACCACAACUGACGCUGAGGCGCGAAAGCUAGGGGAGCAAACAGG